rnacentral:piRNA from 1 species
UACAAUCAAGUGUGUAAUCCUGUGGUCCCA